CCAACCGCCUCAGAGGAGAAGAAGACUGUUUUCAGCGUGAUCUCUCAUCUGUGGUGUUUUGUUGUGGAACUGGCUUAACAUAAUCUGAUAGAAAUGUAUUUUUAGUAUAUAGAAAAAUACACAUUUUGAAUCGGGGCAGUAAACACCUGUGAUAUUCUCAUUCUAAUAGACUUGACAAGAAGUCUUCAAGCAAGCAGGAACAUCUGGAGGAGUAUCAUUUGAAUUGAGAUCUGCUGCUGUGAAGAUGGUGUUUGUUAAAGAGGAGAGUGAGGAGGACAUGAGUGAACCAGAACCCUGGAGAAAUAAACACGAGGAACAAGGAGGCCUGGUGAAAGUGAAAGAGGAAAGAGAAGAUCUGAUGGAAGUGGAGGAGAAACAUCAGCAUCAGAAAGAUCUUGACGUCACUGGAGAAGAAUCAGUGAGUUGCAGCAUUCAAAAAACAGAAGUCAAAAGACCUUUCAGCUGCUCUCAGUGUGAAAAGAGUUUCAUGCGUAAAACACACCUUAAUGAACAUUUAGUAACUCACAGUUCAGUAAAGCCUUUCAGCUGCUCUCAGUGUGGAAACACUUUCACACGUAAAGAUAGCCUUAAGACUCACAUGUUAAUUCAUACUGGAAUAAAGCCUUUCGUCUGCUCUCAGUGUGGAAAGAGCUUCAAUCAUAAAACAAACUUUAAGAAGCACAUGAUGAUUCAUACUGGAGAAAAGCCUUUCAGCUGCUCUGAGUGUGGAAAGAGUUUUAUACGGAGAAGACAACUAAAUGCGCAUGUGCAUAUUCACACUUCAGAAAAGCCUUUCAGCUGUUCUCAAUGUGGAAGUACUUUCACACGUAAAGACAGCCUUAAGAAUCACAUGUUAGUUCAUGCUGGAAUAAAGACUUUCAGUUGCUCUCAGUGUGGAAACACUUUCACACAAACUAAAUACCUGAAGAAUCACAUGAGCAUUCAUACUGGAAUAAAGCCUUUUGUCUGCUCAGAGUGUGGAAACACUUUCACAUGCAAAGCAAGCCUUAAGAAUCACAUGAUAAUUCAUAGUGGAAAAAAGCCUUUCACCUGUUCUGAGUGUGGAAACUCUUUCAAACAUAACAGAAGCCUAAGGAAUCACAUGUUAACUCAUACCAGAAUAAAGGUUUUCAGCUGCUCUCAGUGUGGAAAGAGUUUUACACAUAAAACACACCUUAAUGAACAUUUAGUAACUCACAGUUCAGUAAAGCCUUUCAGCUGCUCUCAGUGUGGAAACACCUUCACACGCAAAAGAAGCCUUAAGAAUCACAUGAUGAUUCAUUCUGGAAUAAAGCCUUUCAGUUGUUCUCAUUGUGAAAAGAGUUUCACCUGUAAAAGUCAUCUGAAUACUCACAUGAGAAUUCACAUUGAAGAGACGCCUUAUGCAUGUCAUGUGUGAGAAGAGGUUUGAGAGGAAAAUUAAUUUGCACAGCUCUCACUCUGUCCUUGGGCAAUUUAACUGUGAUCACUGCAGUAAAAGUUUAGCUUUUCCAUCAUUACUGAAGAGGCACCAGAAAGUUCAUAUAAAGUAAAAGCCUCACGUCUGUCCUGUUUGUUGAAGGAGGUUUCUAGGGUUGACUCUUUAAAAAGGCAUGAGCAUGAGAGUGUGAACUUUUAUACCGUGACUGUGGGAAAAGCUUUAACAGUGCUGUAUGUCAUUUUUUAAAUGUUUUUUUGCUAAUAUUUAGGAAACACGCUACGUUCUUGUAACGGAGACCAGCUGGUAGAGAGCCGCUGACCUCAAAAGGCAAACUAGUGACUGAUUUUAGAGACUAGUGGUCAUCAGCGUCCUUGUUAGCGCACCCGUCUCCCAUGCCAGGGACCCGGGUUUGAGUCCCGCUCAGAUCGGGGAAGUUAGGACAGGAGGGGUUUCUCUGAAAAGCAAUGCCACAGACGGUUAUUCUGCUUUGUAAUUUGUGAUCACAGAUCGAAAUGAUUGCACCAGAAAAUUCAUACAAAGUAAAAGCCUCACAUCUGUCCUGUUUGUGUAAGAAAAUGAAUAAGGGUUGAUUCUUUAAAAAGGCACCAGAUAAUCAAACUUUUGUGCUUUGACUGUGUGGGAAAAGCUUUAAAGGUUCUGUAUGCAAUUUUUUGAAAGCACAAAAAUACCAUAAAACAUUUGGGAAAUGAUUUCUCUAAAAACAAACAGUGCUACAGAUGGUUAUUCUACAUUUUAAUGCACUUUCCAUGCCAGAAUGUCUUUUUUUCUGUUUUUGUUUUGGUUUGUGUGAUUCCACCCCUGGUUUGCCAUUUGGCAGAAAACACAGCAAUGGAAGCCAGAAAACCAAAUUAUUUCAUAAUACAGUGUUUUUAGUCAUUUUCACAGAUCUGUAUGAACUGGGAUAGUUUUGACAACAUUGUCAUCUGUACAUGAAACUCAAAAAUCCAAAGGAAAAUGUUCCAAUUUUUAGUAUAUCAUUGUUAUGUAAAUGUAGAAGAUGAAAACUUGUAGCAAUAUGUACUGCAUGGAGGUACAAUUUGUGAUUUUUUUUUUUUUUUUUUUUUUUUGACAGAACUGUCAAGUUUAAAUAAUUUACUGUAUACAUACAAAUGUGCAUAUAUUCUUUCUCUGUGUACUAUAGUAUUGACUUGUCCCAAUAAACUUCUCCCAAGAACUACAACUGACUGCCAGCUUUUGAUGAAAUCAACUAAAGAUAAAAUAACAUCCUCAGCUGAGAUCUUUUGAGAGAUUUAAUGUUUUCUUUUAAACAACAUGAUUCUAACGGUGCAAAAAACAUGCUGAGAACACAACAGGUUUUUGAUUUACAAAUAAUUAAAACUGCUUGACCAUUUGCUUUCAAAUGUCCCAUGUGUCUUCCUUUCUCUUCAGUGUUAUUCUUUCAAUGGCUAGCAUGUUUUGAAGGAUCUGAGAUUCAUCGUCUUCCCUUCCCAAUGUGUUUUUGCCUUGUAUUGUCUCAUUUUACAAAUGCAUGCUUUCUGUAAGUAUAUUUUAUGUUUGAGAUUAAAAUGUUUGUUAAAGGAGACAGAGUUGAUUGACAGUCAAAUGUUCAAGCGUUUCACAUUAUACAUGACAAAUAAUGACUUUAUUUCGUAGACUGUCUUUAGUUGCAUUCUAAUAUUAUUAUACAAUGCUGCUUGGAAAAAAAACUGCAUAUGCUCUACACUCCAGUCCAGCAGGUGGCGCUAAGACACAUCUGUUUCUUUGAUUAACCGCCAUUAAACCUCAGAGGAAGAAUUUUCAGCACCAUCUCUGGUGUUUUGUUGUGGUAGCUGGGUUAAUACAAACUGUCAGGAAUGUGCUGUUGGUAUUUUGAAAAAUAAACGUUUUGAAUAUUCUGUAAUAUUCUAUAAUCUUGACUAAGUCUUCAAGGAAUCAGGGAUAUCUGGAGGAGUAUCAUCUGAUCUGAGAUCUGCUGCUGUGAAGAUGGUGUUUGUUAAAGAGGAGAGUGAGGAGGACAUGAGUGAACCAGAACCCUGGAGGAUAAAACACGAGGAACAAGGAGGUUUGGUGAAAGUGAAAGAGGAAAGAGAAGAUCUGAUUGAAGUGGAGGAGAAACAUCAGCAUCAGAAAGAUCAUGAUGUCCCUGGAGAAGAAUCAGAAACAUGUUAAAUCCAUGUAAUGGAGACCAGCUGGUAGAGAGCUGUACAAGUAAACCUCAAUCCCCUGACUUCAAAAGGCAAACUAGUGACUGAUUUUAGAGACUCUGAAAAGCAAUGCCACAGAUGGUUAUUCUACAUUUUAAUGCAUGUUCCAUGUCUGAAUGUCUGUUUUUGUUUUGGUUUGUGUGAUUCCGCCCCUGGUUUGCCAGUUGGCAGAAAACGCAGCAAUGGAAGCCAGCAAACCAAAUUAUUUCAUAAAACAGUGUUUUUAGUCAUUUUUACAGAUCUGUAUGAACUGGGACUGUUUUGACAACAUUGUCAUCUGUACGUAAAACUCAAAAAUCCAAAGGAAAAAGUAAAAAAAAAACUGUCAAGUUUAAAUAAUUUACUUUAUACAUACAAAUGUGCAUAUAUUCUUUCUCUGUGUACUAUAGUAUUGACUUAUCCCAAUAAACUUCUCCCAAGAACUACAACUGACUGCCAGCUUUUGAUGAAAUCAACUGAAGAUAAUCUUUUCAGAGAUUUAAUGUUUUUUGCUGUUUUUUUUUUUUUCUUUUUCAUUUUCUUUCAAAUGCCCUGUAAUGUGUGUUGCUCACCAGGUGAGCUAACAGUUAAGACUCCACUGGAGAGCGAAGCCAAAUAAAGUUCAGUUGUUAUUGA